CUUGUUAUUAUUGUCAUCGGAUUGGCUGGACUUGGAAUUGCGAAGAUUGUCAUGGGAGCUGUAUAUCUUCAUGAUUGUAGUAUACAAGAUCUCAUUCCGAUCUGGUUAAUUGUGAGUGGAUGUGCUCCAAUUUUGUUAGGCGGAUUUGGUAGACAGAAUAACGAGGACAGUGGCGAGGGUUACAAUUUAUGCCGAAUCAUUUGUGGAGCUAUUGGCUUCCUGUUCAACCUUGCCUGGCUUAUUUGUGGAAGUGUGUGGGUGUAUCCAAACUGUGGAAAAGUAGUAGCUGAUGAUUUCACGCCAUGCAUGGGAAACAUAACCAUGGAUUGCACACAAGGGGAUUGUAACAAAAGCCUGAUCAAAUUCGCUUUUGCAAUGGCGACACUUGAUUGGAUACUCAUGAGCCUUUGGAUCGCUCUGAUUGGUUACACCGUAUUCAGGGCAUGGAAAAAUUAGCCAACCCGUAAGCGGAACGUAAACUUUGGAUGAUAAUUAUAACUAUGGUUAAACUGUUUUGAUGCACCUAUUUAAGCGUUCUUGCUGCUUUACUCUUGUAUGCUGUCCAACCGCUUUGAAUGAACAAUGUUUAUUCAUGAAUCAUGAAAAUCACUUUAGUAUUUAUGUUAAUGAUAUCCAUUUAACGAUUAUUUUCUUAAGUUUGUGCAAUGAAAACAAGCGGUGCAGCAGGCGUAGAAUUAAUGCACAAUAUAAUUACAUGUCAACUUCACUUAACUUAUCUGGUCAUUGACAUUUUUACAAGCAGUCUAAAUCUUGUAUUGUCACUAUAAAAUCUUGAGUGAUACUUCAUCUUAUUAUCGAAUUAUUGUAAGUUUUUGUGCCUCAUUAAAUAAGUUGACAAAACAUCUGAUGCAGUGAUGUAAAUGUAAAUUAUACAUAGAUGGAUAUAUCCUGAUUGACUUUGUUGUGUAAACUAAUCAUUUGAGCCGCGUCAUGAGAAAACCAACAUAAUGCGUUUGCGACCAGCAUGGAACCAGACCAGCCUGCGCAGUCUCAUCAGGAUCCAUACUGUUCGCUAACUGUUUCUCUAAAUGCAAAAGACUUCGAAAGCGAACAGCAUGGAUCCUAACCAGACUGCGCGGAUGCGCAGGCUGGUCUGGAUCCAAGCUGCGGGUCGCAAACGCAUUAUGUUGGUUUUCUCAUGGUGCGGCGCAUGCUAUCAUGUCUAAACCUGUUUUCAUUUUUUUUCUCCAUUGUGUCAGAGCAAGGGAAUUCUAACAGGUAGCAUUGCUUGUAAAUACCUAAUCGAGCGUUGUCAUUCUUUGCAAUCAUUUGUAAAUGCAUUAUUUCUAAACUUCAUUUAAUGAACACAUGAACAUACUUCCAUAAAAUAUUUCUAGUUGCUUGAACGACUUAGAAAAUCAGCUUCUAUUUUUUUGACUUUGAAAAUUUAAGGUUCUGUCUAAUACAUGCAUCUAUUUAUACAGUGGUUUUGUUUUCUUAUGUAUGUACUCUAUAACAUGUUUGCACUAUAUAUUAAAAAAAAACACUUUUCCGAAUGAAAGCUAAAAAAACGACUAAACUUUCACAGUGACUGUUAAUAAUUUGUAGAUCUGUAUGCAUUCAAUGUCCACAUUUAUAUGAACCGCGCCGUGAGAAAACCAACAUAGUGCG